rnacentral:lncRNA from 1 species
CAGCCUCUCCAGGCCCAGAACUUUCUCCAGUCAGCCUCGACAGACCAAGCUCAUGACUCAAAAUGGCCUAUUUAGGCCCAUACCCUACCUCACGGCAGUCUCCACAGAUGAGGCUACUGCCUCACAACAGCCUCCACAGGCACAGCUCCACCGUUACAAUGGCCUCUUUAGACCCAGCUCCUGCCUCCCAGCCUUCUCUCCAGGCCCUGAACUUUCUCAAGUCGACCUCUCCAGGCCCAGCUCUCCUGCAUCUUGGCAGCCUCUCCAGGCCCAGCCUCUGCCUCCCGUCAGCCUCUACAGUCCCAACAUCUGCCUCACAGCAGAUUCUUCAGGCCCAGCAUCUGCCUCACUGUGGACCACCCAAGCCAAGCUCCCAACCUUUCAGCAGCUUCUACACACCCAGCUCCUGCCACCCAGUGGCCUCUUUAGGCCAAGCUCAUGCCUCACAAGGGCCUUUCCAGGCCCAACUUUUGUCUCAUGGCAACCUUCCCUGGCCAGAUUCCUGCCUGUCUCCCAGCAGCCUAGACAGGCCCAGGUCUUGCCUCACACUGGCCUGUCUGCAUCCAGCUCUUGCCUCACGCUGGCCUCUCCAGGCCCAGUUCCUGUCCCAGGACGUCAUCUCCAGGCCCAAAACUUCCUCAAGUCAGCCUCUCUAGUCCCAACUGCUGCCUCCUGGUGGCCUAUGAAGGCCCAAAAUCUCCUCAAGUUGACCUCUCCAGGCCCAGCUCCUGCCUCGCAAUUGCCUUUGUAGGCCAAGAUCAUGCCGCGAAGUGGCCUUUCCUAGCCUAACUUUUGCUUUUUGACGCAUACUCCAGUCCCAAAACUUCCUCCAGUCAGCCGGUCCAGGCCAAGCUCUUCCUCCCAAAGGCUUCUGCAGGCCAAAAUCAUCCUGAAGUCACCCUCUGCAGGCCCAGCUCCUGCCUCCAAGUGCUGUGUAGGCCAAGCUAAUGCCUCACAGCACACUUUCCAGGCUGAGCGUUUCCUUUUGUGCAUCCUCUCCAAGCCCUGAACUUACUCCAGUUGGCCUCUCCAGACCAAGCUCUCCCUCCCAGUGGCCUCUACAGGCCAAAACUGUCCUCAAGUCAGCCUCUCCAGGGCCAACUCCUAGCUACCGGUGGCUUCUGCAGGCCAAAAUCAACCUCAAGUCAGCCUCUUCACACCCAGCUCUUGCCUCUAAGUGGCCUCUCCAGGAGCAAAACUUCCUCAAGUCGGCCUCUCCAGGCCCAGCCUCCUGCUUCCCGAGGGCAUGUACAGGCCCAGCCUCUGCCUCACAGCAGACUCUCCACGCCCAGCUCUUCCCUGUCUGCUGCCUCUCCAGUCCAAAGCUGCUCCUGCCUUUCGGCAACUUGUACAGGCCCAGCUCCUCCCUCACGGUGGCCUCUUUUUGCCCAACUCAUGCCUCUUGCAACCUGCCCAAGUGUCAGCUCCUGCCUCACACUGGCCUGUUGAGGCCCAGCUCAUGCCUCUCGUGGCCCCAACGGGCCCAGCCCCUGCCUGUCGGCAGCCUCUACAGGCCCGGCCUCUACCUCACAGUGGGCUCUCCAGGCCCACCCCUUUCUCACCGUGGCCUCCUGGGGCAAUGCUCCCCGCUCUCGGGAGCCUCUGCGGGCCUAGCUCCUGCCUCCCAGUGGCCUCUGUAGGCCAAGCCCGUGCCUCAGGGCAGCCUCUCCAGGCCUAGCAUUUGCUGCUUUGCAUCCUCUCCAGGCUCUGGACUUCCUCCAGUCGGCCUCUCCAGACCCACUUGUAGCCUCCCGGCGUAUUCUCCAGGCCCAGCUCUUCCUCCCGGCUGCGUCUCCAUGCCUGACUGCUGCCUCCCAAAAACCUCUUUGGACUCAGCGCCUGCCCAUCUCGUGGCGGCCUUGGUCGGCCCAGAGCUUCCUCAAGCCAAGCUCCCCAGGCCCAGGUCAGGCCUCACGGUGGCCUCUCCAGGAUCAGCUCCUGCCCUCCGAUGGCGUCUCCAGGCCCCAAAUGGUCUCCGGUGGGUGGGCUCCUCCACGCCCAGCUUGGGCCUCCCGGCGACCUCUGCAGGCCCAAGUCGUCCUGAAGUCGGCGUCUCCCGGCCCUGCCUCCCAGCAAGUAAGCAAGCUCUUUUGGCUCAACUCCUGCACAGCUCCCAGCCGCCUUUGUAGGCCCCGAACUUUCUCGAGCCAAGCUCUUCGGGCC